rnacentral:rRNA from 1 species
GACGAACGCUGGCGGCGCGCCUAACACAUGCAAGUCGAACGAGCGAGAGAGAGCUUGCUUUCUCGAGCGAGUGGCGAACGGGUGAGUAACGCGUGAGGAACCUGCCUCAAAGAGGGGGACAACAGUUGGAAACGACUGCUAAUACCGCAUAAGCCCACGGUGCCGCAUGGCACAGAGGGAAAAGGAGCAAUCCGCUUUGAGAUGGCCUCGCGUCCGAUUAGCUAGUUGGUGAGGUAACGGCCCACCAAGGCGACGAUCGGUAGCCGGACUGAGAGGUUGAACGGCCACAUUGGGACUGAGACACGGCCCAGACUCCUACGGGAGGCAGCAGUGGGGAAUAUUGCACAAUGGGGGAAACCCUGAUGCAGCGACGCCGCGUGGAGGAAGAAGGUCUUCGGAUUGUAAACUCCUGUUGUUGGGGAAGAUAAUGACGGUACCCAACAAGGAAGUGACGGCUAACUACGUGCCAGCAGCCGCGGUAAAACGUAGGUCACAAGCGUUGUCCGGAAUUACUGGGUGUAAAGGGAGCGCAGGCGGGAAGACAAGUUGGAAGUGAAAUCUAUGGGCUCAACCCAUAAACUGCUUUCAAAACUGUUUUUCUUGAGUAGUGCAGAGGUAGGCGGAAUUCCCGGUGUAGCGGUGGAAUGCGUAGAUAUCGGGAGGAACACCAGUGGCGAAGGCGGCCUACUGGGCACCAACUGACGCUGAGGCUCGAAAGUGUGGGUAGCAAACAGGAUUAGAUACCCUGGUAGUCCACACCGUAAACGAUGAUUACUAGGUGUUGGAGGAUUGACCCCUUCAGUGCCGCAGUUAACACAAUAAGUAAUCCACCUGGGGAGUACGACCGCAAGGUUGAAACUCAAAGGAAUUGACGGGGGCCCGCACAAGCAGUGGAGUAUGUGGUUUAAUUCGACGCAACGCGAAGAACCUUACCAAGUCUUGACAUCCCUUGACAGACAUAGAAAUAUGUUUUCUCUUCGGAGCAAGGAGACAGGUGGUGCAUGGUUGUCGUCAGCUCGUGUCGUGAGAUGUUGGGUUAAGUCCCGCAACGAGCGCAACCCUUAUGGUCAGUUACUACGCAAGAGGACUCUGGCCAGACUGCCGUUGACAAAACGGAGGAAGGUGGGGAUGACGUCAAAUCAUCAUGCCCUUUAUGACUUGGGCUACACACGUACUACAAUGGCGUUAAACAAAGAGAAGCAAGACCGCGAGGUGGAGCAAAACUCAGAAACAACGUCCCAGUUCGGACUGCAGGCUGCAACUCGCCUGCACGAAGUCGGAAUUGCUAGUAAUCGUGGAUCAGCAUGCCACGGUGAAUACGUUCCCGGGCCU